GAUGAAGAACGUAGCGAAAUGCGAUAACUAAUGUGAAUUGCAGAAUUCCGUGAAUCAUCGAGUCUUUGAACGCACAUUGCGCCCGCUGGUAUUCCGGCGGGCAUGCCUGUUCGAGCGUCAUUUCAACCCUCAAGCCCCCGGGUUUGGUGUUGGGGAUCGGCUCUGCCCUUCUGGGCGGUGCCGCCCCCGAAAUACAUUGGCGGUCUCGCUGCAGCCUCCAUUGCGUAGUAGCUAACACCUCGCAACUGGAACGCGGCGCGGCCAUGCCGUAAAACCCCAACUUCUGAAUGUUGACCUCGGAUCAGGUAGGAAUACCCGCUGAACUUAAGCAUAUCAAUAAGCGGAGGA
rnacentral:misc_RNA from 1 species